rnacentral:rRNA from 1 species
AACGAACGCUGGCGGCAGGCUUAACACAUGCAAGUCGAACGAUCUCUUCGGAGAUAGUGGCAGACGGGUGAGUAACGCGUGGGAACCUACCUUAUUCUACGGAAUAACAGUUAGAAAUGACUGCUAAUACCGUAUACGCCCUUCGGGGGAAAGAUUUAUCGGAGUAGGAUGGGCCCGCGUUGGAUUAGCUAGUUGGUGGGGUAAUGGCCUACCAAGGCGACGAUCUAUAGCUGGUCUGAGAGGAUGAUCAGCCACACUGGAACUGAGACACGGUCCAGACUCCUACGGGAGGCAGCAGUGGGGAAUAUUGGACAAUGGGCGCAAGCCUGAUCCAGCCAUGCCGCGUGAGUGAUGAAGGCCUUAGGGUUGUAAAGCUCUUUCAACGGUGAAGAUAAUGACGGUAACCGUAGAAGAAGCCCCGGCUAACUUCGUG